rnacentral:tRNA from 2 species
GACCCGUUAGUCAAGUGGUUAAGACACGGCCCUUUCACGGCCGUAACAUGGGUUCAAAUCCCGUACGGGUCA